CCGUGGAGGCGAGACGUUCGGUACCCGGUGCGUCCUUAGAGUCGGGUUGUUUGGGAAUGCAGCCCUAAGCGGGUGGUAAACUCCAUCCAAGGCUAAAUACCAGCACGAGUCCGAUAGCGAAGAAGUACCGCGAGGGAAGGUUGAAAAGAACUUUGAAGAGAGAGUUCAAGAGUACGUGAAACCGCUGAGAGGCAAACUGGUGGAACUGAAAUGGUCCCGAGGAAUUCAGCCGUUGGUGGGGACACAGUCUUUGGUGCUUGAUUUAACGACAACGCCUUUGACUGACGUGUCUAUCAUCGGUGCACUUUCCUCGUUAUGGGCCCGACCACGACCGGUGAGCUGAUCUGUCUGUCGUGCUUGGAAGAUAGCGCCGUCUUCGGAAGGCGUGUUAUAGACUUGCAUACGGAGCAGUCGGCGCACUGGAUGAUAGUGCCUGCCCAUUGGGCUCAUAUGGUGGUUGUUUUGACGGCGAGUUCUGAUGUCACUACUUCGGUAGAGUCGUUAGACUGUGUUGGCCUUAUGACUGUCCUCUAUGAUUGGCACUGGUAAGUCUGUGGUUGUGAAGUAGGUAGUCCACCUGACCCGUCUUGAAACACGGACCAAGGAGUCUAACAUGUGCGCGAGUCAUUGGGUUCACGAAACCUAAAGGCGCAGUGAAGGUAAAGAUCUGUUUUGGCAGAUUGAGGUGGGNAUGNUGGGUUACGCGCCCNGCCNCACUACCGGCCCNUUCUAUAUGUAUCUCAUAGGANCGGAGCAAGAGCGUACACNUUGGGACCCNAAANAUGGNGAACUAUGCUUGCGCAGGUCGAAACCMNAGNAAACUYGGUGGAGGACCGCANNRAUUUNACGUGCAAAUNGAUCGUCAAACGUGAGUAUNNGGGCGAAAGACUAAUCNAACCAUCUAGUAGCUGGUUCCCUYNGAAGUUUCC
rnacentral:rRNA from 1 species